AUUGAACGCUGGUGGCAUGCCUUACACAUGCAAGUCGAACGGCAGCACGGGGCAACCUGGUGGCGAGUGGCGAACGGGUGAGUAAUGCAUCGGAACGUACCUUUCAGUGGGGGAUAACGUAGCGAAAGUUACGCUAAUACCGCAUAUUCUGUGAGCAGGAAAGCAGGGGAUCGCAAGACCUUGCGCUGAUUGAGCGGCCGAUGUCAGAUUAGCUAGUUGGUGAGGUAAAGGCUCACCAAGGCGACGAUCUGUAGCGGGUCUGAGAGGAUGAUCAGCCACACUGGAACUGAGACACGGUCCAGAAUACUACGGGAGGCAGCAGUGGGGAAUUUUGGACAAUGGUCGCAACCCUGAUCCAGCCAUGCCGCGUGAGUGAAGAAGGCCUUCGGAUUGUAAAGCCCUUUCGGCCGGGAAGAAAUCGCACGGGCUAAUACCCUGUGUGGAUGACGGUACCGGAAUAAGAAGCACCGGCUAACUACGUGCCAGCCGCCGCAGUAACAC
rnacentral:rRNA from 1 species